GUACGCUGAGACUGUUCCUCCAGAGGAAACUGCAGCUCCCAUCCACACAGCACAGAGAAGCAGAUGUGGGUUAUUUCAGAAAAGCAGCACGGGUGGCCACACUUGCCAAUUGAAGGAGUCCACUCAGCCUCGAUGGAGCAGGUUGUGGCAAAGGAAGAAAAAUAGGACCUGGCCAUGUAAAAAGAAUGCCUACUGCUGAAACAAGUAAAGCAGAAGUCCUCAGCCUUCUCUUUUUGCCUCUCUGUGUUUGUUUUCUCUUCAACAGAAAUAGAGAUCCCUAUAAAUCAAUUUGAAACCUACUAACAAUACACAUUCUUUCCUAUAAUUCUCAUUUUAGGAAUCAGUGUCAU